GCAAGUCGAGCGCAGGAAACUGACGGAACUCUUCGGAGGGAAGGCAGUGGAAUGAGCGGCGGACGGGUGAGUAACACGUAAGGAACCUGCCUCAAGGAUUGGGAUAACUCCGAGAAAUCGGAGCUAAUACCGGAUAGUUCAACGGACCGCAUGGUCCGCUGAUGAAAGGCGCUUCGGCGUCACCUUGAGAUGGCCUUGCGGUGCAUUAGCUAGUUGGUGGGGUAAUGGCCCACCAAGGCGACGAUGCAUAGCCGACCUGAGAGGGUGAUCGGCCACACUGGGACUGAGACACGGCCCAGACUCCUACGGGAGGCAGCAGUAGGGAAUCUUCCACAAUGGACGAAAGUCUGAUGGAGCAACGCCGCGUGAGUGAUGAAGGUUUUCGGAUCGUAAAACUCUGUUGUAAGGGAAGAACACGUACGAGAGGUAAUGCUCGUACCUUGACGGUACCUUACGAGAAAGCCACGGCUAACUACGUGCCAGCAGCCGCGGUAAUACGUAGGUGGCAAGCGUUGUCCGGAAUUUAUUGGGGCGUAA
rnacentral:rRNA from 1 species